rnacentral:antisense_RNA from 16 species
AUGGCAACGCGCUUUGGUCAUGGUGAGACAAAUCAAACCACGACCAUGAGUCGCCAUAAAGUUAAUCGCUGCCGGCGUAAUAUGCUCGGCCGCCAUGAUCA